rnacentral:lncRNA from 1 species
UCUAAUUUAUUAUACUGUCGCUGUAUUUAUUUUACAGAUUUAUAAUUGAAUAAAAUCGUUAUCUUCUAUACUAUUUAUAUAUGCAUACUAAUACUAACAUUUUGUUAGUUUAGUACUCAAGAGUGAAGUUUUAGUAAAGUGUAUGAAAGUACACAGCUGGUAAAGGAAACGACGGAAAUUGCUGAAGAUGAAAUGUGUGUAUGUUCCAAAACGUGCAGUAAAUAUGUUGUUCCUCGUCAAUUCUGUGGUGGUAGUUCAUCAUUACUGAAAUAGGCCUCAACGCUAAUGCAUUUUGAAUCAACUGUGAAUAAGGUUUGCCAAUCUUUUCGUGAUGAAAGGUGACCUUGAUUAGGUGAGUUGAUAACAUGAUUUUCUUCAUAUAUUGGCAAUCUAAUUUAAUGCAUGCAUUUUCUUAUUAGAUCAUGCCUCGACAAGAAAGAAAGAGAGGCUCUGGUUGGUUCAUGCACAAUGCGAAGACAGCGCGGUUAAGGAGAACCAGAGAAACUAUGAGGAAAGGGUUGAAUGCCAACAACAUGAUCGUGAAAGGCAUAUCGAUAGAAGGAACAAAGAGAUGAAGGAGGAAAGAGCUGAACGUCUCAAUGAUCAGAGAAAUAGGACUAGCAACAGAAGGAACAAAAAGACUGAGGAGGAAAGAGCUGAACACCUCCACCAACAAAACAUUAGAAAUAAAGCAAGGAGACUUCAAUGACGUGACCUAUCUGCUGAUGUUGAACAGAUGAAUAAGAUCUGCCCCCAUUGUUGUGCAUAUCUUUUUCAUGAUCCUGCUAAACUGAGCAUGAAUACUCCAAAGGUCAUCAGGAAAAAAGAAAAGAGCAAAAUGUGGAAAAGAGUUUCUAUGAUAAGAGUACACUGAACAAACAUAUUGUUAGAAAAUGCCAGAUCUGAACACUUGGUUUCUUACAUAAGUAGUUGCCCAGAAGUGUCAGCAGUUCAUGCAAGCUACCAAAGGACUAACAUAGUGAGGAGUUACAGUAAAAAAUACUUGUUUAAUGAUGAAGGAAGACCAUUAUGUCCAGUCUGUUUCCAGUCAUUUUUUGAUACGAGUAACUUACGACGACACCUAGACAUGCAUAACCCACAGCGUCCAUUUUAUUCUUGUAACCUCUGUCAAAGGAAGUUUGCUUGGAAAAACUAUCUGAAAUUACACAAGAAACGAGUGCAUGGAAUGAAGUUUGAUAUAAGCUACUGAGGAACCUACCUUAUUAAUGAUGAGAGCCCAUUUUAGGUGAAUAUCAAGAAAUAUCAGAAGUGAGCUACCAGUAUAAACGAGCAGGCAGGAGAUCCUCAGAAAAAUAUUUAUUUAAUGACCAAGGAAGACCAUUAUGUCCAAUCUGCUCACAAACAUUUUUUGACACUAGUAACUUACGACGUCAUAUGUUCUUGCAUGAUGCACAACAUCCAAAAUAUUCUUGUGACUUCUGCCAUAAAAAGUUUACAACCAUAAACUAUCUCAAAAUGCAUACUAAAAGAGUUCACAGUGUUAAGUACCAAUCUUAAAAACUUGUUUUUUGGAGUUGAUUAUGAAAUGUGACAUUGGUGAAAUUUUGGUACAAAAAACCUUUUUAGCUUCCAAAUCUUGAGUUUUUUUAGGUGAAUAUUGAAUGAGUAAUGAUUGAAAUCUUUUUUUUUGUGAAUAUUAUUAAUGUUUUAAUGAAAAAUACUAAGGUAUAAAAAUAAUAUUUAUUUUACAAGGAAAGUCCUAGUAUUUACAUGUAAUAGUGCUUUACAAACAAUCUAGCUACAGAAUUUGUAAGUGUAGUUGGUGCUUAUGAGGUUGCAAAAGAUUGAAAAGUCCCUUUUUAUGUGUAUGUAAAGAUGUAGCCAAUCCAUUCUCUGUGGAGGCAUGUUAGCUGUGAUAAGAAUUAUCUUAUUAAUUGUUAAACAUCUUUUUUGGUAAACUUUCAUAACAUCUAGUGGUAACAUUAGUUAUGUUUAACAACAAAACAAAGCUAGCCAAGUUGUAAACUUUAUAAAUUUGUUUUUGUUUGGAAAAAAUAUUUUAAAAAUUUCAAAAUUAUUUCAAGGUGUAUGUAUUUUUUGUCAUAGCACUAAGCUUAAAAUAAUGUUUAACAGUUAUGUAAAAAAAUGUUUAUUUUAGAUGUGGUAGAAAUAAAGUAAAAAUACCACUGUGUAGUGAGAUGUCUUUAUUUCCAUUAAGUUCUUUUUUUUUUUCAGUUCUUUAUGGGGUAGUUUAUGCUUUUCCCAAUAAAUGGCUUAGCAUUUUUUUGCAACAGUUGCUUUAUAGCUUUUUGUAAGAACUCAUCAUCAUAAAUUGGAGUCUUGCAAGUUUAAGUGUAUGUGAAUAAUGGAUUUUUAUGUAUUGGCAUAUAUAAAUUUCAUCAUGUAAUUGUACUGUGAAGUUACAAAACAACAAAGCUUGAUCUAUGGUAUGAUAUUCAUAACUAGAAACAAAGAAGUUGUUUUGUAAAGAAAUGAAGUACAAGCUUAACACUGAUAAAAUUAUUUGUUUGUAAAAUGUUGGUAUUUUUCAAUUCAUAGUUAAUAAAAGCUACAACAGCAAAAAUAAAUAGAGGAAGGUGUAUAUAUUUAACAAAUUCCAUAACAAGAAGGCCCUUAAAGAACUUUUAUAACUAAAUUGGAAUUUUAAUAGAGGUAAAUAAUAAAAGAUCAUAUUAUCUAUAAAAGUUGUUUCAAAACAAGUACAAUGUUUAGCUUGGAAGCACAUAUUAAGAUGCAAAGAGUAUGUUAACCAGAUAAUUGAAUAAAUGAACUACUGCAGACACCUAAAGAGCACAUAGCAUAUACAGAAUAAAUAUUCCUGAUGUUGAUAUUAAUUGGAAGUUUCAAUGCAACAAA